UACGGAGGAUCCAAGCGUUAUCCGGAUUCAUUGGGUUUAAAGGGUGCGCAGGCGGAGAGAUAAGUCAGUGGUGAAAAACUGCCGCUCAACGGUAGUCUUGCCAUUGAUACUGUCUUUCUUGAGUAUGGAUGAGGUAGGCGGAAUGUGCAGUGUAGCGGUGAAAUGCAUAGAUAUUGCACGGAACACCAAUUGCGAAGGCAGCUUACUGGACCAUUACUGACGCUCAGGCACGAAAGCGUGGGGAUCAAA
rnacentral:rRNA from 1 species